rnacentral:rRNA from 1 species
UACGUAGGGGGCGAGCGUUGUCCGGAGUUACUGGGCGUAAAGCGCACGCAGGCGGUCUGCUAAGUUUGGAGUGACAGUUGGUGGCUUAACUGCCAAAGUGCUUCGAAAACUGACAGACUUGAGGGCUUCAGAGGGACGCGGAAUUCCGGGUGGAGUGGUGAAAUGCGUAGAGAUCCGGAGGAACACCAAAGGCGAAGGCAGUGUCCUGGGGAGUACCUGACGCUCAGGUGCGAAAGCCAGGGGAGCGAACGGG